UACGUAGGGGGCGAGCGUUGUCCGGAUUUACUGGGCGUAAAGAGCUCGUAGGCGGCCUGUCGCGUCGGAUGUGAAAGCCCGGGGCUUAACCCCGGGUCUGCAUUCGAUACGGGCAGGCUAGAGUGUGGUAGGGGAGAUCGGAAUUCCUGGUGUAGCGGUGAAAUGCGCAGAUAUCAGGAGGAACACCGGUGGCGAAGGCGGAUCUCUGGGCCAUUACUGACGCUGAGGAGCGAAAGCGUGGGGAGCGAACAGG
rnacentral:rRNA from 1 species